UAGAAGCAGCCAUCCUCAAAGGAGUGCGUAAUAGCUCACUGGUCGAGCGAUCCUGCGCCGAAAAUGAACGGGGCUAAGCAUCGUACCGAAGCUGCGGAUUAAACUUGUUUAAUGGUAGGGGAGCGUUCCAUGUGGGGUGAAGCGUUAGCGUAAGCGGGCGUGGACUGCAUGGAAGUGAGAAUGUCGGCUUGAGUAGCGAAAACAUGGGUGAGAAUCCCAUGCCCCGAAACCCUAAGGGUUCCUCCGGCAGGCUCGUCCGCGGAGGGUUAGUCAGGACCUAAGGCGAGGCCGAAAGGCGUAGUCGAUGGACAACAGGUCAACAUUCCUGUACCGAUGAUGUUUUGGGAAGGGGGACGGAGAAGGCUAGCCAAGCCAGAUGUUGGUUACUGGUCCAAGCGUUCGAGGCGUUGAGAGCUGGCGAAAACAGCUUGAGCUGAGGCGUGAGUGCGAGCUUCUACGGAAGCGAAGUUGGUGACGUCAAGCUUCCAAGAAAAGCCCUAUACCCGUUAAGGCAUCAUUGCCUGUACCCGAAACCGACACAGGUGGGGUGGUAGAGAAUACCGAGGGGCGCGAGGUAACUCUCUCUAAGGAACUCGGCAAAAUGACCCCGUAACUUCGGGAGAAGGGGUGCCAGCGCAAGCUGGUCGCAGUGAAUAGGCCCAGGCGACUGUUUACCAAAAACACAGGUCUCCGCUAAGUCGCAAGACGAUGUAUGGGGGCUGACGCCUGCCCAGUGCCGGAAGGUUAAGGAAGCUGGUCAGCGUAAGCGAAGCUGGCGACUGAAGCCCCGGUGAACGGCGGCCGUAACUAUAACGGUCCUAAGGUAGCGAAAUUCCUUGUCGGGUAAGUUCCGACCCGCACGAAAGGCGUAACGAUCUGGGCGCUGUCUCGGAGAGAGGCUCGGCGAAAUAGAAUUGUCUGUGAAGAUGCGGACUACGUGCACCCGGACAGAAAGACCCUAUGAAGCUUUACUGUAGCUUGGUAUUGUGCCCGGGCUCUGAAUGCGCAGGAUAGGUGGGAGGCUUUGAUCCAAUGCUUGCGGGUGUUGGUGAGCCACUGGUGAGAUACCACUCUUUCAGAGCUAGGGUUCUAACGGUCACCCGUUAUCCGGGGACCGGACAGUAUCUGGUGGGCAGUUUGACUGGGGCGGUCGCCUCCUAAAAGGUAACGGAGGCGCGCAAAGGUCUGCUCAGGCUGGUUGGAAAUCAGCCGACGAGUGUAAAAGCAGAAGCAGGCUUGACUGUGAGACCUACAAGUCGAACAGGGAGGAAACUCGGCUUUAGUGAUCCGACGGUUCUGAGUGGAAGGGCCGUCGCUCAACGGAUAAAAGUUACUCUA
rnacentral:rRNA from 1 species